CAGUCCGUUCUCUAUCAAGAGUGUGUGUGUGUGUGUGUGUGUGUGUGUGUGUGUGUGAGAGGAUCAAGGCUGAUAUGUUGACACAAUAAUCAUACUGUGAUAAAUUAAGUCGGUUAAUUCAGUUAUAAGUGAAAUUUAUUGAUUAAAUUUAUUAAAAUGAAUAAUUUUAGUCUUACAGGAAGCAGCUGAUAUCGAUGUUGAAAGUUUCGUAUUAGAAAGUACGUUCUAUAUUCCAUAAUAUAUAUAAAUAAAAAAAAGAAAUUAGUAAAUGUUAAUGUUAUUUAUUUAAUUCAUGAAUGAAUGAAAAGAUUGAAGACUGGAAGCAGCUGAUUUUGAUGUAGAAAGUUUGUAUUCAAUCUUAAAAAUAAAAAAAAUUAGAAAAGAUUUUUUCUUUUUGUUCUCCCUUUAAGAGUUGAAUAUUAAAUGUUUUAUUAAUUCAUUUAUGAAAUAAAAAUAUGAUCAGAUAUUUCUCAGGUCAGGACAAAUCUGUUCACAUGAUUUGAGUUGUGAUGUCACAAAGGCCUUUCUUCUGACCAAUCACGUCUUGUAUGCAAAUGAUUACAGGAUGACAUUCUAGAAAGACAAAGCUGCAGAAACCUGUGCCGCUAAUGUUUGCGAUGAACAGAUGGUGGUUGUCAUGGUAACAUUAUAUAACUUUACUGUGUUUGUGGGUGGAGGGGGGUGUAAUUUGCAUAUCUAUGUAUAUUCAUAGAGUGUUGCAUUUCUAAUGAGGGUAAAAUGUACAGGGUCAUCUUUAGGGGUUUCCUGGGUGACUAAAGGUUGCUGGUUUCUGUGUGGAACCUUCUGAAACUGAGGAACACUGUUGUAAACCUUCGAAGGACUGGAAAUUGCUGUAGAGAGGAAGAAAGGAACCCUAAGGAGUGUUCUAUCAUGCUGAUCGAUGUCAGAGAGUUCUUCAGUGAUGACUCUGAGCGAUAUCGGACCUCCUCUUAUCUUCCAAAACGGCUUUCCUUCUUUGUCUCUGGAUCAAUUCUUGACUAUUCUCAUUAUCGACAAUUUAAUUAGUUCCAUACAUCUCAGCUGGGGUCUGUCCCGGAGGCGGGGACAGGAACUCCAUCUGCUCUGGAGUUGAAGAAAACCUUUUCUUCUUCCUCUUCUUCUUGGAGCAAAAAUAACAGAUUUACACACCACAGUAAAUCUCUUUCCAGAUGUUUCUAUGCUGUGAAACACUGUGUUGGGAAGUUUAGGUUUGUAAAUAAAUUGCCAGAAAUGCAGGACUAGGAAAAACUAAUUAUGUAUAUAUAAUUAAAAUGUAUUUUUAUUUACUAUAAAUGAAUGAAUGAAUGAAUGAAUGAAUGAAUAAAUAAAUAUGCAGCAAUAAAUCUGAUAAACAAAAUCAACUUAAAAAUUUUUUAAAUACCAUUUCUUAGUAACUGUUUUAUUCUGUUGUUUAAAAUAUUUAUCAAUUUGUUUAUUUUUAUAUUACAAAAUUCUGACAUCAUAUCAGCUGCAUCCAGCUAUUAUUUAUGUAAUUAUUUAAAAAUAAUAGCAACAGAAUAAUUUUUUUAAAUCCCAGCUUUCAUAACAUCUAAGAAAAGUGACACUUAAUCUGAUAUUAUAUCGCAAUUAAAGUGUCGUGAUUAUAUCAUUAAAUCGCCGAGCCCUAAUCCUGAGGAAUCUCCUCACUUGCUUUCCUCAUCUCCUUCACUUUCACUUAAAUAACAAUAGAGCUUCACCCUGUGUCCAUCCUUCUCCCUGUUCUUCUUUUCCUCCUCCUCCUCCUCCUGUCCACCACCAACAUCUGUGAGCCUCCUCAGCCUGGUCCAUUCUCUCUCUAACUGCUCCAUUAUGGAACCUCUUUCACUUGUAAAUGCGCUCAGUGAUCUUGUCGGUGGCUCUUUUAUGCCCUGUACUGGGGUCACACUGAAGAUAUGGAGCGGGGCAGGGGCUGGAGGAGGCCUUGAAAAAGACGGGAGGAGGGAAGAUGCUUACAAAGCAUCGAGUGCUGGUUUUGUGAGCAGAAAGAAUCCUGCUCUUUUGGGUUCCUGUAGGUUUCUGAGGGGGUUCAUAGGUGAAGCGAACACGGCACAUCGUGGCUCGGUGCUAACGCUUUAUACGACAUGUAGGAGAACGUUUGUCUUGUGGUUGUAUUUUUACCACCCGAAUUUCCCCAACACUCUACAAACAGCAAGAAAAAUGUAAAAAAUUAUAAUAAUCCAGCCAAUAAACAAAUGAUUCCUUCACCUCCUGAGUCUCUUCUUGUUGGAGUCGUUUGUUUCUUCUACUAGAAGAGACUCAGGAGGUAAAAGAAUCGCUUGAGUUUCCUGAGCAGAGCUGACUGUGUUUAUCACAUGUUCCAGACAAAUGCAUUGAGUCUGUUAUUAAUUGAAGUCCUCACAAACCAAUCAUUACAGAACAGUGUGUUAGUGUGUUGACGGGGUGUGAAGCGUCUUUAACAGAAACUUUCCACUAAUUCUCAUCGCUAGCAUUUUUUAUUUAUCAACCUAGAACCGGUCUUUCUGAGCUUUCUGUAUAUUUAGCGUAAUUGUGUGUAAGGUCCUGCGAAUGUGUGUGUGUGUGUGUGUGUGUGUGUGUGUGUGUGUGUGUAGGGGUGGGGGUCGGGGAAAGCACCAAGUUUGCAAACAUUCUGAGGUGAGUGUUUUAUCGGACCUCCAUAAAACAGCAGGAGUAGGACAACAACAGGGUCAUCGCCAUGACGCCAGAGUCGCCUCGACAACCAGCCUACAAAAGUGGACCCUGUGUGGGAAUGUGAGGGACCUUCCUGAGGCCAGAGGAUGACCAUGGAUCUCCCAUAUAUGUGUGUGUGUGUGUGUGUGUGUGUGUGUGUGUGUGUGUGUGUGUGUGAGAGAGAGAAAGAGAGCGAAAGUCAAAUAUCUCACUCCAUGUCAUGGAUGGCUGAUUGUGAUUGCUCGGUGAAAUCCUCGCCCCCGCCCUGCCCCGGCCCCGCCCCAAAUUUGUUUAAUGCUGAAAUCCUUGAGUGAUUGAUGAGUUUGCGACACACACUCACGAUUGUCGCAGACAACACACACAUCUCAGGGUUGCGCUAUCACGGCACCAUGACGUCAGCUCCUCGCCCUCGCAGCGAACGACAACAAUCAUGAUUGUUCUGGGGAAAAAACUUGCCUAGCUUAGCCACCAUGCUACACGCCUUCAUCCUUAUUCGCAGCCACUUUCCCAGCAUGCACCUGUAAUGGCCGCUGUGAUUCAGACUGCUCCCAUUUUCCCCUCCUCCUCUUCUUCCUCUCCACUCUUUAAGGGAGCGUAUAAAAGAGUAUUGAUGAAGGUGUAAGGGAUCUGUGCUGAGUUUGUAAGGACACGCCCCCUUUUCCUUAUUUAUUAAACCUGGGCCCGGUGGAGGGAGAGAGCGAGGGAGUGAACGAAGGAAAAAUGAUUGCUUCUGUUUCGAGUCUCGUCGAUAUUCAUUGGCCCGAGCGUUGCAGUGAGGAGGCGGGCGUCACUCUUCACUCGUCUGUAUGGACGCCGGAGCGCGAGCUCGCAGGCGGAGAGAACGCCGAUCGUUACGUGGCUCGGAAGCUUGACAGCGAUCCAAUUAACCUGAAACAGCCUCCUUCGCCUCCUGCGUUCUGCUGAGAGAGAGAGAGAGGGAGAGGGGGAGAGAGAGAGAGAGAGGGAGAGGGGGAACACCCGCAUGCAUGCUGAUGCUCCGAAACUCUCCGUCUCUUGCACAGGGAGAAAAAGAGCGGUGGGGAUGAGCGUUUACAGAACGCUUUCCUUUCCUGACUUCCCUUUCACUCUCUGCUCUUCAUCAUUUCAUCUCGUCUCCUCAAACGCAAACGGAGGAGGGAAGGAAAGUGUGAAAAAAAACUGAAAGAAAUGUUAAAAAAGAUGACAAAAAGGCAGGAAGAUGAAUGAUACAGAAAGGAAAUGAAGAAGAAAUUAAUAGAGGAAAGAGGAAAAGGCGGAAGGAAGGACGGAUGUGGGAGGGACAGAAUGACUGACACACAUACAAAAUGAAGACUGAACAGAAGAAAAGUAAGAAAGAAAAAAAGUAGAGGUUAUAAAAAGACAAGAAAAUGCAAGAAGGAGGCAGAAAAAUAAAUAAAUGAAAGGAUCAUGGAAAGAAGGGAAUGGAAUAAAGAGGAAAAAUGUCAGCUAGAUGGAAAACAAUGGCAUGGAAGAAAGAUUGGAAACAUUGGAAAGAAGGAAUUGAAUUGAGGAUCAAAAGAAAGGAAGGAAUAAAAGGAAAGACAAAAAAGAUGGGAAUGAAGGUGGAAAAAAUAAGCAAGGAAAGAAAGAAAAAUAGAAAAUGUUAGGAAAGAAGAGACGACAAGAAGGAAAUGGUGUAGAGCUCUCAUCUUUUCAUGUCUUCCCAAACUCUCCCUCCAUCCCUUUACUUUAUUUCCUCCACACAGUUUUCCCUCUAUCUGUGUU